UACGUAGGGGGCAAGCGUUAUCCGGAUUUACUGGGUGUAAAGGGAGCGUAGACGGCAGAGCAAGUCCGGAGUGAAAGCCCGGGGCCCAACCCCGGGACUGCUCUGGAAACUGUUAAGCUGGAGUGCGGGAGGGGCAGGCGGAAUUCCUGGUGUAGCGGUGAAAUGCGUAGAUAUCAGGAGGAACACCGGUGGCGAAAGCGGCUCUCUGGCCUGUAACUGACACUGAGGCUCGAAAGCGUGGGGAGCAAACAGG
rnacentral:rRNA from 1 species